rnacentral:rRNA from 1 species
GUGGGGAAUCUUGUGCAAUGGGCGAAAGCCUGACGCAGCCAUGCCGCGUGAAUGAUGAAGGUCUUAGGAUUGUAAAAUUCUUUCACCGGGGACGAUAAUGACGGUACCCGGAGAAGAAGCCCCGGCUAACUUCGUGCCAGCAGCCGCGGUAAUACGAAGGGGGCUAGCGUUGCUCGGAAUUACUGGGCGUAAAGGGCGCGUAGGCGGACAGUUUAGUCAGAGGUGAAAGCCCAGGGCUCAACCUUGGAAUUGCCUUUGAUACUGGCUGUCUUGAGUACGGGAGAGGUGAGUGGAACUCCGAGUGUAGAGGUGAAAUUCGUAGAUAUUCGGAAGAACACCAGUGGCGAAGGCGACACACUGGCUCAUUACUGACGCUGAGGCGCGAAAGCGUGGGGAGCAAACAGGAUUAGAAACCCGAGUAGUCC